rnacentral:rRNA from 1 species
AUUGAACGCUGGCGGCAUGCCUUACACAUGCAAGUCGAACGGCAGCACGGGUGCUUGCACCUGGUGGCGAGUGGCGAACGGGUGAGUAAUACAUCGGAACGUACCUUAUCGUGGGGGAUAACGCAGCGAAAGUUGCGCUAAUACCGCAUACGCCCUAAGGGGGAAAGCGGGGGACCGUAAGGCCUCGCGCAAUUAGAGCGGCCGAUACCUGAUUAGCUAGUUGGUGAGGUAAAGGCUCACCAAGGCAACGAUCAGUAGCUGGUCUGAGAGGACGAUCAGCCACACUGGGACUGAGACACGGCCCAGACUCCUACGGGAGGCAGCAGUGGGGAAUUUUGGACAAUGGGGGCAACCCUGAUCCAGCAAUGCCGCGUGAGUGAAGAAGGCCUUCGGGUUGUAAAGCUCUUUUGUCAGGGAAGAAACAGCAGCUCUAACACAGUAUGCGAAUGACGGUACCUGAAGAAUAAGCACCGGCUAACUACGUGCCAGCAGCCGCGGUAA